CAUAUAACUAAGCGGAGGAAAAGAAACUAACUAGGAUUCCCUCAGUAAGGGCGACUGAAGCGGGAAGUGCUCACCGUGUGAAUCUGUACACUCUUGUAGUGUACCGAUUUGUGGUCUGUAGAAGCAAUGUUUGUUUCUAACCCGGGCAAAGUCCUUUGGAAAAAGGCAGCAGAGAGGGUGAUACUCCCGUCCUUGCCUGGGAUUAGUAACAUGAACACAUGCCUUCAACGAGUCGAGUUGUUUGGGAUUGCAGCUCAAAGUGGGUGGUAAAUUCCAUCUAAAGCUAAAUAUUGGUGGGAGACCGAUAGCGAACAAGUACCGUGAGGGAAAGAUGAAAAGAACUUUGAAAAGAGAGUUAAAGAGUACCUGAAAUUGCUGAAAGGGAAGCGAAGGAAACCAGUGUUGUGUUGAUUCAUUUUUCUCCUGCUGUUUACAACAGGGGCGCUGUGAGUUGAUAUAGGCCAGCAUGGGCUCAACUCGGAACAAAUGGCUUUGUAGGAGGUAGGUCCUUUUCGGACUGAAGACUGCUUUGUGUUGUUCUGGGUUGGACUGAGGCUAGCAAGUGUGAUGCUGGCGAAAUGGUUUUCUUUACCCCGUCUUGAAACACGGACCAAGGAGUCUAACAUAUGUGCAAGUAUAGGAGUGGCAAACUCCCAUGCGUAAUGAAAGUAACAGUGGUAGGACCUUCUGGGGCACUAUCCGCCGGCCACAAUCCUUCGGGAGAAAGGUCUGAGUGUGAGCAUACAUGUUGGGACCCGAAAGAUGGUGAACUAUGCCUGAAUAGGGUGAAGCCAGGGAAA
rnacentral:rRNA from 1 species